GAUGAACGCUGGCGGCGUGCUUAACACAUGCAAGUCGAACGGAAAGGCUCCUGCUUGCAGGGGUACUCGAGUGGCGAACGGGUGAGUAACACGUGGGUGAUCUGCCCUGCACUUCGGGAUAAGCCUGGGAAACUGGGUCUAAUACCGGAUAGGACCACAUUUUGGAUGGUGUGGUGGAAAGUUUUUCGGUGUGGGUUGAGCUCGCGGCCUAUCAGCUUGUUGGUGGGGUAAUGGCCUACCAAGGCGUCGACGGGUAGCCGGCCUGAGAGGGUGUACGGCCACAUUGGGACUGAGAUACGGCCCAGACUCCUACGGGAGGCAGCAGUGGGGAAUAUUGCACAAUGGGCGCAAGCCUGAUGCAGCGACGCCGCGUGGGGGAUGACGGCCUUCGGGUUGUAAACUCCUUUCGCUAGGGACGAAGCGCAAGUGACGGUACCUGGAGAAGAAGCACCGGCUAACUACGUG
rnacentral:rRNA from 1 species